AAUCGUUCCUAAUAUUAAAAGUCUCUAGUAUCAAGUUAUUUUCAUCUUUGGACGAUGCUUAAUUGACAAUUAGGUACCUGUCAUGUUAUUCUUGUGAAAACUAUUUGGUUGGUUCUUACAAAGACUGCAUAAAUAAUUCCAUUUGAAGUAUAAGGCAACCAUACCCACAGUUGUCGGGAAAAACUGAAGCCGCAAUUGGGGUCCCGCAGAAGAUGUGGUAUGAUUGCCGAUGAGACAAUU
rnacentral:lncRNA from 1 species